UACAGAGGUCUCAAGCGUUGUUCGGAUUCAUUGGGCGUAAAGGGUGCGUAGGUGGCGCUGUAAGUCGGGUGUGAAAUUUCGGAGCUUAACUCCGAAACUGCAUUCGAUACUGCGGUGCUUGAGGACUGGAGAGGAGACUGGAAUUCAUGGUGUAGCAGUGAAAUGCGUAGAGAUCAUGAGGAAGACCAGUGGCGAAGGCGAGUCCCUGGACAACUCCUGACACUGAGGCACGAAAGCUAGGGGAGCAAACAGG
rnacentral:rRNA from 1 species